UUGCGAGAUACGAUAGAUAUUUUGUUUAGUAUUUAUAAAUUGUAUACUUCGGCAUAUUUCGCCAAAUGACACUUUAUAAGAAACCGGUUUCGGUUCAUAAUGCAAACGUAUCACUAAACGGGAUCCAGUUAAUAUCUUAAAGAGGACUCCAAUGCGCAUGUGGCGCGCAUUUGCCAUGCGGUGUCACAAACUCGUCAUUGCGGCAGUGAGACGAAGAAGCGAGAAGAUGUGCACAGGGAAAGCGAGCAUGUCAUAUUAUGGGAGCAGCCACAUAACAUGAGGCACUUAGCUCCGAUAAAUUGACAGAAUUCCCAUGGCAAACCUGUUUCUACAGGUACGUUGAUGUCAAUAUGAAGAAGCUCCUGAACUAGAUCAGUUGAUGGCAGAAAAUGCUGACUGCCUUCCAUCAAACAUCAACUUGAUGGCAGAAAAUGCUGACUGCCUUCCAUCAAACAUCAACUGACGUGAAUCGGACUUGAGUAGCACAAGGUUCCACGAGAUGAGGUGCCUGUGAUGAAAGGAAGCUUGUGAACGUUGGUGAAGGAAGACGCUGUACCACAAGUGCUGUAUGUGAUGAAGAAUUGUUCAAUAAAGUUUUUCUGAAACUUCA